UACAGAGGGGGCAAGCGUUGUUCGGAAUUACUGGGCGUAAAGCGUGUGUAGGCGGUCAAGUAAGUCGGAUGUGAAAGCCCCGGGCUCAACCCGGGAAGUGCACUCGAAACUGCAUGACUUGAGUAUCGGAGAGGUUGGUGGAAUUCUCGGUGUAGAGGUGAAAUUCGUAGAUAUCGAGAGGAACACCGGUGGCGAAGGCGGCCAACUGGACGAAUACUGACGCUGAGACACGAAAGCGUGGGGAGCAAACAGG
rnacentral:rRNA from 1 species